GACGAACGCUGGCGGCGUGCUUAACACAUGCAAGUCGAACGGAAAGGCCCUGCUUGCAGGGUACUCGAGUUGCGAACGGGUGAGUAACACGUGGGUUAUCUGCCCUGCACUUCGGGAUAAGCCUGGGAAACUGGGUCUAAUACCGGAUAGGAGCCAUUUUCAGUGUGAUGGUUGGAGAGUUUUUUCGGUGUUGAGUGAGCUCGCGGCCUAUCAGCUUGUUGGUGGGGUAAUGGCCUACCAAGGCGGCGACGCGUAGCCGGCCUGAGAGGGUGGACAGCCACAUUGGGACUGAGAUACGGCCCAGACGCCUACGGGUGGCAGCUGUGGGGAAUAUUGCACAAUGGGCGCCAGCCUGAUGCAGCGGCGCCUCGUGUGGGAUGACGGCCUUCUGGUUGUAAACUACUUUCGCGAGAGACGAAGCUUUUUGUGACGGUACCUAGAUAAGAAGCACCGGCUAACUACGUG
rnacentral:rRNA from 1 species